rnacentral:rRNA from 1 species
UCAGAGAUGGAUUUGUGCCUUCGGGAACCGUGAGACAGGUGCUGCAUGGCUGUCGUCAGCUCGUGUUGUGAAAUGUUGGGUUAAGUCCCGCAACGAGCGCAACCCUUAUCCUUUGUUGCCAGCGGUCCGGCCGGGAACUCAAAGGAGACUGCCAGUGAUAAACUGGAGGAAGGUGGGGAUGACGUCAAGUCAUCAUGGCCCUUACGACCAGGGCUACACACGUGCUACAAUGGCGCAUACAAAGAGAAGCGACCUCGCGAGAGCAAGCGGACCUCAUAAAGUGCGUCGUAGUCCGGAUUGGAGUCUGCAACUCGACUCCAUGAAGUCGGAAUCGCUAGUAAUCGUGGAUCAGAAUGCCACGGUGAAUACGUUCCCGGGCCUUGUACACACCGCCCGUCACACCAUGGGAGUGGGUUGCAAAAGAAGUAGGUAGCUUAACCUUCGGGAGGGCGCUUACCACUUUGUGAUUCAUGACUGGGGUGAAGUCGUAACAAGGUAACCGUAGGGGAACCUGCGGUUGGAUCACCUCCUUACCUUAAAGAAGC